rnacentral:rRNA from 1 species
UGAGGAAUAUUGGUCAAUGGGCGAGAGCCUGAACCAGCCAAGUAGCGUGAAGGAUGACUGCCCUAUGGGUUGUAAACUUCUUUUAUGGGGGAAUAAAGUAUGUCAUGUAUGGUGUAUUGCAUGUACCCCUUGAAUAAGCACCGGCUAACUCCGUGCCAGCAGCCGCGGUAAUACGGAGGAUGCGAGCGUUAUCCGGAUUUAUUGGGUUUAAAGGGUGCGUAGGCGGGACGUCCAGUCAGUCGUGAAAUUUUGAGGCUUAACCUUAAGCUUGCGAUUGAAACUGACGUUCUUGAGUAUGGACAAGGUGGGCGGAAUUCGUGGUGUAGCGGUGAAAUGCUUAGAUAUCACGAAGAACUCCGAUUGCGUAGGCAGCUCACCGGGGCAUAACUGACGCUGAUGCACGAAAGUUCGGUUAUCAAACAGGAUUAGAUACCCUGGUAGUCCGCACUGUAAACGAUGAAUACUCGCCGUCUGCGAUACAGUGUAGGCGGUCAAGCGAAAGCAUUAAGUAUUCCACCUGGGGAGUACGCCGGCAACGGUGAAACUCAAAGGAAUUGACGGGGGCCCGCACAAGCGGAGGAACAUGUGGUUUAAUUCGAUGAUACGCGAGGAACCUUACCCGGGCUUGAAUUGCAGAGGAAUGGAGGUGAAAGCUUUCCGCCGCAAGGUCUCUGUGAAGGUGCUGCAUGGUUGUCGUCAGCUCGUGCCGUGAGGUGUCGGCUUAAGUGCCAUAACGAGCGCAACCCUGAUUGUCAGUUACCAGCAUGUAAUGAUGGGGACUCUGGCAAGACUGCCUUCGUAAGAAGUGAGGAAGGUCAGGAUGACGUCAAAUCAGCACGGCCCUUACGUCCGGGGCUACACACGUGUUACAAUGGGUGGUACAACGAGUUGCUUGCCGGUGACGGUUGGCUAAUCUAUAAAACCACUCUCAGUUCGGAUCGAAGUCUGCAACCCGACUUCGUGAAGCUGGAUUCGCUAGUAAUCGCGCAUCAGCCACGGCGCGGUGAAUACGUUCCCGGGCCUUGUACACACCGCCCGUCAAGCCAUGGGAGUCGGGGGUACCUGAAGCACGUUUCCGUAAUAGGAACGUUCCGGGGUAAAUACCGGUGACCGGGGCU